UGGCUGUGUGUCGACAUGCUGGAAGAGAGCUUGAAAGCCCCAUCAUCGUUAAUAUACGGAUCACUGGCGCUAAAACGCUUUGUGGGGGGUACCUAAAAUGUCCAGCAACUGGAAGAAAAGGUUGUUCAGCCCCCCAAGCACUCUAGGCCGAUUCACCUUAGCGUGGCUAACGGCAUCACGUGCAGGGCGUCUGCAGGGUAGGCACAGAAGCCAACGUCACUGGCACUCUUAAAAAUGUAGAAUACAUGUAUAUGAAUUAUCAUCAGCUGUCACUUCCUUCCUGCUCCGGGGACUUACCGGGCACGUCAAUGUCCUUGGCAAAUAUAGUCUGACAGACGGUGGCACGUCGGCACAGCUGUUCCGACUACGUUCAUUACUGGCGACCUCCGGUCGUCACUACAUCCACAUCUACACAACCGAGCGGUACAGAAUUCUCGAAUAACAGCAAACGUUUAUCGAAUGCGGAUGGAAUCGGCCCGUCAAAGCAGCGUAUAAGAAAGUAACAUCAACAUGUUUCGCAGUGAAGUGGUGCAAGAGGCACUGUUAAAGGACGGGAUCAGACGGCAAAAUUGAUAGUGGCAGCAGCAGCUUUACACCAUGCAGCUUUAAAAAAUGGUGCAAGCGUUUUGAAGUUAUUGAGAACCGGGACGUGCGAAUAACUAGUCAUGAAUGACAGUUUUCCUGACUUGUCUUCGGGGUCUCAGACCACCUUUUCAAAGGGUAUAUCUGUUCUACGCGAUAGUCAUCCUAGAUGGACACUUCGCCUUCCAUGUUGGAAGAGAAGAGAGUGCAGUAAAAUAGAAAUGAUUUGAAUAGCGGUAAGCCUUCCUAGGAAGAGCAUCAAGAGAAUCAAAAACCUUUAUAUUUCAAGGUCAUUUGACCGAAGUUGGUAGGCAUGUAUUGUAAGUUCUCCUUUCGGACUUCUUACGAAAACUGAUCGAUCCGCACACUCGUGCGGUGACACACAGGGAAAAUCAGUAGCCACCUUUUUUCGACACUGGAACGUACUUCUUGGUCUCAUAUACUUUCUUCGGAGGCGGAGCAUACGCUUUUUUCGGCGGUGCAUAGACUUUUUUCGGCGGUGGCGCAUAGACCUUCUUAGGCGGCGGUGCCUUCUUUUGCACAGGAACGUAUUUCUUGGCUGGCCGCACGACUUUUUUCGGAGCCACUGUCUUCUUCUGGUGAACCUUCUUCGGAGGUGGAACAUACUUUUUCUCAUGGACUUUCAUUGGAGCUUUCACUGGAGGCGUUUUUUUCGGGGCGACAGCUACCUUCUUUGGAGGGGGCUGGGCCUUUUUUGGUACUGCGUAGUAGUACCUUUUCUUUCCGAGGCUUCGUUGUUCCUCGGACUCUUCGUCCACUGGACCGUCUGACUCAUCUUCAGGAGCUUGAAAAUCUGUAAUUUCAAAUGACAUGUCUGUCACCAAACCAUCGAUACCAUCAGCCCCGUUGGCAUCGUCCAGAUCGUUGGCUUCUGCCGAUUCUGGGGCAGAGUCGAGGUUGCCGUCAUUUGCCGCCUCUUCAACUUCGUUUCCUUCACUGAUGUGAUCUUCUGAUUCGUCCGACACAUUUCUCUCGUCUGCUUGGUCAUCGUCCGUGUUCCGUUGGCCGAGACCAUUCUGGAGCUCGUGAUUGUCCUCCGCAGGAUCUCCACUUGUACCGAUACUGUCAACCUGCAACUUGCGGUAGACUGCUACAGGAGUGGUUUUCUUAGCCGGGACCUGCACAACAACUUUCUUAGGCGGGGGAAGCGGUGCGAGGAAAUCUGUCUUCUUUCCUAGGCCGCGUCCUUCGGCGUCCUCGAUACUGUCAACAGAUUCGUCCUCCCAAGCAUCACCAUUUUGCGGCAGAAUGCCGUUUCCAAUCUCGUUUUCUUGAAAGUUCCGGUUGGCAAAAGCUUGUGAUGCGCGCUGAGCUUCAUGCAAUUUUUCAAGCGCAUUCAGAGAAUCCAGCUGAUUUCCGCCAUCUCCAGAUUCUUCUGCCAGUCUCUGAAGCUCCUCCGGAGGCGCACCACUGCCAGCAUCAAGCUCAGAACUGGCACUGGCGGCGCUGAUGCCAAUGAAAAAGGUUCCCAAAAAAAGAGCCGACCGCAUUUUGGCCAACUGAAAAGCUAGAGCGUGAUAGUAAAAUAAGAAAGCAUACAAGGAUAUAAAGUGAAUGUACAUCAGUCGUUUGUUGAGAACCUAAUGACCAGUAUCGUCGUCAGAGUCCAUGUCGUCCCUGCUCGUUCGAGCAACGGCAGCAGUAAGACUCAUGAGCGGCCGUAGCUUUCGAUAGCCUAGCCUCUUCCACCCAAGAUAACGACUGGCACGCUCUGAAAUGCCUUCGCCCAUGGUAUUUUUACGGUGCUGAUAGAAACGUCAAGCCGGACUUUUGCGAUUUUCAAUAACUGCACAGAACAGUUCGUGGCUGUCCGGCACCGGAUUAGCGCGUUGUACUUCGUGUCCUGUCACCAGUGCUGUACUUUGUUGUAGCACGCUGACAAUAAACGAAGAAGGAGGCAUUGCAUCUGACCAUAGUCAACAUGGGUUCGUGACUGUUCUUCUUACACGUAACAUUGGUGUAUUCGUACGCUGACCCAACACCCGAAAGAUGCGAGCAAUGCUGUCAGAAAAAGCAGAAGAUGGGCCGAGGCCUUGCCCAUUGAAGCGACUUCUGCCACUGUUUCUAUAAAACCUCUAGACACAGGCGUGGACGCAAGUUAUACUGAUUGCUCACAUUCAUCCUCUUCUACCGAUUGGGGAUAGCGAGGGCCAAACUAUGAAAUGCUAGCGAGUGAACUGGUUAAGAGACGGGAUGCAGAUGGCUGAUGUUUUUCAAUCCCGCAAACGAGUUCCAUAGGUACUGUGACAGUCUGCGUUCACGUUAUAAGCAGAUAUUGCUUCUGUACAAAUAAUCCGCUAUCCGGCAUUGUACAACUCAAAUCGAAU
rnacentral:lncRNA from 1 species